ACAACUGCUAUGUUGUGAGCGGCUCUAUGGAGAGGCCCAUGUGGAGGGAAGUGAGGAAGGCCUCUGGCCAACAGUCCAGGAGGAAGUGAAGCCCUCAGUCCAACAGCCUGUGUGGAACUGAACCCUGCAAACAACUCUGUGUGUGAGCUUGGAAGUGGAUCCAUAUUCAGUCAAACCUUGAGAUGGGACACCAUGCUCUGCUAACACUUGAUUGUGGUCCCAGCUAGGCCACUGCUGAAGUCUUGACUCAGAGAAACGAUGAUAUAGUAAAUGUUUGUUGUUUCAAGUUGUUUUUUAAAGAUCAAUGAUUGAAUUGCUGCUCGGCUGAUUGGAUAUGUCUUCUCGGAGACUCACCUGUCCUCCCCGAAGAGAUGCUGACUACACAACAGCAGUCACUGUGCUGGGCACACGGGCAGUGUUCAGGAGACGUGGCUUCCUUUCUUCUUCUUUCAUUUCUUCCUGCCCAGAACAGCAAGGCUGAGACUGAUAAUAAAAUUCCUGGAACAUGGAGAAACUCAUGUGGGGAGAAAAGAAGAAAUGUAUUGUGACUUCCAUGGGCUUUUGGCACUUUUGGACCUCCCUCCUCCUCUUUUCCAUAAAAAAUGUAUUUUAAGACAUAUUGGUAUAAAGAUGAGAUUAUUCAUAGUACAUAUUAAAAUGUUUUCCCCUACCUAAAAGUUUGUGGUUUUAUUGUCUUCUUGUUUUUAAAAUAAAUUAAAAUAUUUUCAAAGGCCGUUAGAAGAACCGUGGGCCCUGGGCUUGGUGCCUGCUGUGCCUCAUAAAUCAGGCCUGGAGAAGAGACAUCAGUGACAUUUUAGUGUCAGGUAGAAAAUGUAAAAUAUCAUGAUUGUUUUCCAAUGAUAUACUAAGUAAGACACAUAAGAUGUGUUUUAAUUUUUUUCUUGAUGUAUGCUGUUGUCUUUUAGUUAUAAAUGCUGAGUACUGUUAAAAGAUAAACUGAGGCACAAUAAAAUUUGAAGAGUUUAUUUGAGCAAACAAUGAUUUGUUACCGAAACACCAGGGGUUCAUCUGGGUCCUGCUGCUUGCCACACAGAAAGCCAAUCACUGAGACAAUGAAUAUUGCCAAGGAAGAAGGCUUUACUCAGGUGCUGCUGUCCAGGAGAUGGGAGAUCAGUCUCAACUCCACCUCCCUGACUGAUUAAAACUAGAGGUUUUAUAGCAGGGAAGAAAUGUAACAGUAUGUAAGAAAACAGGAACUACGGAGGGGCAAGGAAGCAAUCAUGAAGAAUGAGGGGCCUGACAUCUCAUUGCAUGUGAUGAUCUGGUGAGUUUCAGUUCUCUGAUACUCUUUGAGAGGUCUGGGCUUCCUUUCCUGUGGAAGCAACUCAGAUAAAACAAAUGUAAGUUUGAAGCUUUAAGAUCAGAUGGAUCAAUUUCUUUUUUUUUUUUUUUUUUUUUUGAGACGGAGUCUUGCUCUGUUGCCCAGGCUGGAGUGCAAUGGCCACGACCUUGACUCACUGCAAGCUCCGCCUCCUGGGUUCAUGCCAUUUUCCUGCCUCAGCCUCCCAAGUAGCUGGGACUACAGGCACCCGCCACCAUGCCCAGCUAACUUUUUGUAUUUUUGGUAGAGACAGGGUUUCACCAUGUUAGCCAGGAUGGUCUUGAUCUCCUGAUCUCAUGAUCCACCUUCCUUGGCCUCCCAAAGUGCUGGGAUUACAGGUGUGAGCCACCACGCCUGGCCAGAUCAAUUUCUAUGUUUAUCUAAAAACUGUUGAUGAGACUUGGGUCAGUUUCAGAUUCACGAAUCAGGCAGCUCCAAACUAAAAGUGGUUCAGUGCCUAUGCUGAGGAAAGGAAGAGACAGGCUUUUGUAGAGUGAAUGGGGAAAGAACAGAAAUGCAAUAUUUGAUUGGUUACAGUUAAAACUUGCCUCAUUUGGUCUAUCCUGCUGAGAAGUCCCCAGUUAUAUAAUUAUAAAUUUGUUGGCUGCUUCUGAUUGUUUGAGCUUCAGUUCUGGUUUUCUAAUAUGGGCAUUUACAGAAAUAGCUCAUGUUAAGUUUUGUUUAUGUUUGCAAAUCAAGCAAGGUUAAGGUCAUUAAUGAAGUCUAACUGGCUUUGCCUGCUCAGGGCAUCUUCAAGCCCGGUCUUCAUUUUGAUUUACUGUAACAGUACUUUAGAUUUGUAAGGUAAAGUUAGAGUCCAUCUUUGUUGACUCCAAGACAUACUCUGAAGUUUGAACUUUUUAAUAACUCCCUGAUAUGUAUUAACUUUUUUUGUAGGUAUGACUGUCAUCUACAUUUCCAAGUUCUUUUUUUUUGAGACAGAGUCUCACUGUGUUACCCAGGCUGGAGUGCAGUGAUGUGAUCUCAGCUCACUGUAACCUCCACCUUCCAUGUUCAAGUGAUUCUUGUGUCUCAGCCUCCUGAGUAGCUGGGGUUACAGGCGUGUGCUACCACGGCCAGCUAAUUUUUGUAUUUUUAGUAGAGACGGGUUUUCACCGUGCUGGCCAGGCUGGUCUUGAAUUCCUGACCUCAUUUGAUCUGCCUGCCUCAGCCUCCCAAAGUGCUGGGAUUACAGGCAUGAGCCACCACGCCCGACCUCCAAGUUCUUUCUAGUAAGUACUUAGUACUUUAGGUUUCUUAAGAUUUUUCCUCUUAUUUAGCUGAAAUUUUGUGUCCUUUAAGUACUUACUACAGAGAACUUGGAAAUUUAGAUGACAGUCAUACCUACAAAUAAGGUUAUUAUGGAUAAGUUAUAGUGUUAUUUAACUUAUUAUGGGUAAGUUAUAGUGUUAUUUAAGUUACUAUGGAUAAGUUAUAGUGUUAUUUAACAAUCAAUAUGCUACUUAGGAAAAAAAUUUCCUGAGCUCUAUGCAAAGAAGCCUGUUGUAAAGCAAAUAAUGCCAUCUAAUGUAUUUGCUUGUCACUUGGGUUGUUUUUUCCAAUUAUUGAAACAUUUAAAAUGAAUGCAUCUCUAUUCUUUCUAG
rnacentral:lncRNA from 10 species